rnacentral:lncRNA from 1 species
UCCGAGCUCAGAGUUUACUAAAUUAAAAUACAGUGAUAUAUUAUCUCCUAUAAUCUGGAGGGAUGAAUCCCAUCUUGAUCCACACACAGACUUCGUAAGUACUUGACUAUACCUAGUAGCCUUUCAUCAUUGCAUUAGAAAUACAGGUAGUUCGGUACCAAAGCACAGUAAGUUACUUGUAUGUCACUAUAGUGAUCUUAGGUCUAUGGGAUACUUAUGCCCAUACGUUUUGUAAGCUGCUCUUG